GACUCUCUGCCUCCACCGCCCACGGCUCGACCGUCGAGGCACCGCUUCACCGCCGUACCUCCCUAUAAAAUGGCUCCCGCCUCUCAAGCUUGCUCCAGCGCCCAUGCCCAUCACGCAGCGCCCACACGCACCAGCAUGCCACGGCGGCUUGGUUCCCAUCCGACCGUGAAGCAGAGCUGCGCGGUGAUGGCGACGCCCAGCGCAGGACGCCGCGACAACAGGCAGGAGGCCAUGAAGGGGCUCACGUAGCGAUGGCGGUGCGCGGCUAGGAGGACCAGACCUCGCGCUGCGACGGCGGCAGGUGCGUGCUAGCUGUGGCCCUGAGAGGGGACUUGCGGCGUGACUGUGGCAUGCGGCAGCGGGGAUCUCCCCAGCCUCUCCUACCCCUCUUCUGAUGUGGGGAACAUGGAUUACCGGUUUUCUGCUGAAUCUUUAGUUGUGUGGAAACAGCGCUCGGAAUGGACGCGACGGUCCCUCAAAAAAAAAAAAAAGGAAUGGACGCGACGGUGCGGUCACCGGCGCCCUGCGUCCUCCACCGGUGUCUCAUGCCCCUGCCCACUUCCUUCCGCCGUCCACACUGCCUCCGUCUCAGCCAGUGGAUGUUCAUAUGCCGGAUAACAAGUGCGGCGGCGACCAUGGUCUGUCCCGCUCCGCCAGUCCUUUCUUCCGGUGGCUUACUUACUACUCACGCAGGUGGAGUUCAACAUGGAGGAGCUUGCCAUGUCCCAAGCAUCAUUUUGGGCGUAGCUGCCCACCUCUGUGUGACGACUGCUCCAAUGCAGACCAGGUGUUCGGCGUAAUGUCAGAACGGCCACAGUGAUGAGGAUACAUCAGUUCGUGAUGAGCUUAGAGGUCGGUGUAGUGCCAGAAGACGGCGACCAGUGGCGGGCGCUCGCGCACUGCUUCUGGGAUGACACAGCCAAGACCAACAAGGAUGACGAUCAUGUUCCUAUUUCCAGUGGGUUCGUUCAAGUGGUAUGGACGCGGCCAGGCAAUUUAUGAAGUUUGCUGGAGCAGCCGUUGCGUACUAUCCCAUACUCUCUGUCGAUAGACACCUUCUCCCACGCCGACGCCGGUCGCCGGGAUACCGUCCCAUCCAUCACCAUGCAAGAGCGCUCUAAUCCUCUAGACAGUACUGCUCACAGCAGUUGCAGAUGCGGAUGCAUUGCCCACAGCCGCGGAUGCCGCUGUCCCGUACCGAGGACGUGCAGUCAUGUUUUAGAUUAUGAUUGUGCAAAGGAAUAUGUCAGAAAAUGACGGCCCGCAAUUUUGUACCAAAAUACUGAACAUCUUCUGAUUUUACUGGAAGAUUGAUGUGGACAUUGAUGUUAUUGCAAUGAAAGCUGAUUUUUUUUCAUUCACAUUUUUGAAGACUCGAGUUUCAGCAGCACCGCACCAUUAAUUAGCUUUCUGCAAGUGACUUGUGAUUUCAGCUGAUGAAGCCGUCAACCAUUGGGGGCACGGAAUUGUCGAGCUCAAGGUUCGUCACCCUUGUUUCUAAAGGGAAGGUAAAGUUGGGGAUGCCAAUCUCUGAGGAUUUUCUCAAUGGUUAUCUUCAAGCCAUAGAAGCACCGUCGAGCCCUGGAGCUGUUGCGACAAUGCCGUCCCAGACACCGGCGUCCUCUUCCAUGCCCCGGCCAUCCAGGAGGAGUGCCACGACUAUCACAGUUCUCAACACGGCGUCCUCCGGGAUGUUGAUCAAGUCCUUGCACCGGCGGCAUCCGGAGCCUGAGAGGGACGCCCAGAGAGACAUGGCCUUCGAUUGGAGCAUUGCAGGCAUCGAUCCUCUUUGUGGUAGCCAUGGGUAGAGCUCAGCCCCGUGAGCUGCAGUUCACCAGUUAAUUCCUCACCUGUAAGCCGAGGAAGAAGGAAAAUGGUUUGUGCUAUAUAUACGACUGAACUGGACAAUCACAUAAAAGGUAGAUAUUUGCACAUCUAAUUUAUUUUGUGUAGUCUGGGUACUCUUCCCCAUAGUGCUUGCUUUGAUUUUUGUUGUUCAGUUAAAUCAUUCACAUGAGUACCUCAAUUUAAUUAACAGUGUAAGUUGAUUGUGAGGCUGUGUAUUUUUUGUUGGAGAAGAAAGUACCAUGACAUGUAACUCAUUUGCACUUAGUGAAUUUCAG